GACGAACGCUGGCGGCGUGCUUAACACAUGCAAGUCGAACGGAAAGGCCCUGCUUUUGUGGGGCGCUCGAGUGGCGAACGGGUGAGUAACACGUGUGUAACCUGCCCUUGACUGUGGGAUAACUUCAGGAAACUGGGGCUAAUAUCGGAUAGGAUCUCCUGCUCCACGGUGGUGGUUGGAAAGUUUCGGCGGUUGGGGAUGGACUCGCGGCUUAUCAGCCUGUUGGUGGGGUAGUGGCUUACCAAGGCUUUGACGGGUAGCCGGCCUGAGAGGGUGACCGGCCACAUUGGGACUGAGAUACGGCCCAGACUCGUACGGGAGGCAGCAGUGGGGAGUAUUGCAAAAUGGGGGGAAGCCUGAUGCAGCAACGCCGCGUUCGGGAUGACGGGUUUCGGGUUGUAAACCGAUUUCGCCUGUGACGAAGCGUUAGUGACGGUAAUGGGUAAAGAAGCACCGGCUAACUACGUG
rnacentral:rRNA from 1 species